AUGGGAACGCGAAGAACCUUACCUACUCUUGACAUCCAGAGAACUUUCCAGAGAUGGAUUGGUGCCUUCGGGAACUCUGAGACAGGUGCUGCAUGGCUGUCGUCAGCUCGUGUUGUGAAAUGUUGGGUUAAGUCCCGCAACGAGCGCAACCCGUUAUCCUUUGUUGCCAGCGGUUCGGCCGGGAACUCAAAGGAGACUGCCAGUGAUAAACUGGAGGAAGGUGGGGAUGACGUCAAGUCAUCAUGGCCCUUACGAGUAGGGCUACACACGUGCUACAAUGGCGCAUACAAAGAGAAGCGACCUCGCGAGAGCAAGCGGACCUCAUAAAGUGCGUCGUAGUCCGGAUUGGAGUCCGCAACUCGACUCCAUGAAGUCGGAAUCGCUAGUAAUCGUAGAUCAGAAUGCUACGGUGAAUACGUUCCCGGGUCUUGUACACACCG
rnacentral:rRNA from 1 species